CAGAUCCAACCCCAGAACGUCCCCAAACUUCCAUUAAAUUACGAAAAUGUCAAGCGACAGCGACGACGAGGAUGAGCUCCUCCAGAUGGCAUUGAAGGAGCAAGCGCAACGUGAUCUCAACUACCAGAGACCACUGUCGUCAUCUUCGGGUUGUUAAUUUCGUGCAGCCACCGAAGGCCCCAGCCACUACUCCACCCAGGCCGGGGACAAGAAUGGUACAUAAUCAGCAGCAACAGCAACAGAAGAAGAAUAGGAGAGUGGUCGAGGAGGACGAUGAUUCGGAGGUGGAAAUGCUGAGUAUAUCGAGCGGAGACGAGGAGGUGAGUAAGGAUCGAGGAGGAGCGAAAGGGAGAGCAAGCGGAGCAGGAGGAAGAGGAGAGGAGGAUAGAGGGUGGGAUGGAGAAGAACCUGAUUGCUGGAAAAGGGUUGAUGAGGCUGAGGUAUGGAUAAUUUAGUCAGUUUUCUUUCUUUUUUUAAUCUUAACUAUGUUAAUAUAUGUA
rnacentral:misc_RNA from 1 species